AGAAAAACAGGCGGCGUAGCAGGUGGGCAGCACGUUGCCAUGAUGUGCCGUGGCCCGGCCGUGGCUGGCGUGAUCCCACCAGAGUGAGCUGGAGCAGAUCUGCACCAUGGGCCAAGUUUCUCAGAAAAUACAUGGCUUCCUGCGGGCUGCAGCCUAAUGCCCACGUUCCUCUCGGGGCAGACCGAAGGUUAUUCAACCAGGGCAAAGGACAGCCUUGCAAACCAACUACGUCCUCCUUCUGGAGUUUGUGUGACCCCUGGCCCCUGAGCCCACACCCUCUCGGAGCGGGGUUCCAACUCCGUGGAAGCUCUGCUGAGAUGCAGGUCCCUCCCUCGACACCUGGGGAUUACAAUUAGAGAUGCGAUUUGGAUGGGGACACCGAGAGAAACCAUGACAGGGGCUCUCCAGAGAAGCAGCCCAGCCUUGGGCAACUUAGUUCUCCCAUCUGACCAUCCAACCCAAUAAGGCUGCUGACUCACAUAGGACCAGGUUUCAGAUAUUCUCCACUAACUAGGAAGAUGAUUUUGCUUUCAGACCACACAGACACUCAUCGCCCCUCUUGCCACCCAUCCUUUAAAUUUGAUUGUUUUUUCCUUCUGGGGUUCAAUCAAUAUUCAUUGUUUACAUUGUUUUAAUUAUGCAAAUAUCACUACUUGAGGCAUACCACAUACUCUAAUUACAUUUCUGUUAGUUUUCCUUUAACUGAAAACGUCUUAAUUUCACCUUCAUUCUUGAAUGAUAUAUUUGGUGGAUAUAGAAUUUUGAGCUGACAGUUCUUUUCUUUCAACCCCUAAUGAUGUUCUACUGGCCUCUAUGAUUUCUGAUGAGAAGUCCAAGUCAUUCAAAUCCUUGUCUGCCUUAAAUUUGUUGUUUUCUCUGUUUUCAAGAUUUU